rnacentral:rRNA from 1 species
UGGGGGAUAUUGCACAAUGGGCGAAAGCCUGAUGCAGCGACGCCGCGUGGGUGAUGAAGGCCUUCGGGUUGUAAACUUCUUUUGCUCUGAACAAGGCAUGCCUUUGGGGUGCGCUGAGUGUAGGGGUUGAUUAGCGCCGGCUAACUACGUGCCAGUAGCCGCGGUAAUACGUAGGGCGCGAGCGUUGUCCGGAAUUAUUGGGCGUAAAGGGCUUGUAGGUGGCUGGUUGCGUCUGUCGUGAAAGCUCAUGGCUUAACUGUGGGUUUGCGGUGGGUACGGGCUGGCUUGAGGGCAGUAGGGGAGGCUGGAAUGCCUGGUGUAGCGGUGGAAUGAGCAGAUAUAAGGAGGAAUACCGGUGGCGAAGGCGGGUCUCUGGGCUGUUACUGACGCUGAGGAGCGAAAGCGUGGGGAGCGAACAGG